GAGCUAGCUCAAUCGGUAGAGCGUGUGGCUCUUAUUACAGAGUUCGACCUCAAGGUUGCGGGUUCGAGGUAAUUCAUCCGAGCACCU